UACAGGGGGGGGCAAGCGUUGUUCGGGAUUACUGGGCGUAAAGGGCUCGUAGGUGGCCGACUAAGUCAGACGUGAAAUCCCUCAGCUUAACUGGGGAACUGCGUCUGAUACUGGAUGGCUUGAGUUUGGGAGAGGGAUGCGGAAUUCCAGGUGUAGCGGUGAAAUGCGUAGAUAUCUGGAGGAACACCGGUGGCGAAGGCGGCAUCCUGGACCAACACUGACACUGAGGAGCGAAAGCCAGGGGAGCAAACGGG
rnacentral:rRNA from 1 species